UACGGAGGGUGCGAGCGUUGUCCGGAAUCACUGGGCGUAAAGGGCGUGUAGGCGGGACGGUAAGUCGGGCGUGAAAUCCCUAGGCUCAACCUAGGAACUGCACUCGAAACUACCAUUCUUGAGUGUCGGAGAGGAAAGCGGAAUUCCUGGUGUAGAGGUGAAAUUCGUAGAUAUCAGGAGGAACACCAGUGGCGAAGGCAGGUCUCUGGGCCACUACUGACGCUGAGAAGCGAAAGCAUGGGGAGCGAACAGG
rnacentral:rRNA from 1 species